rnacentral:lncRNA from 1 species
GGCACAGCUGUGCCCAAGAUAACUGCCCGAAGCACGGGGCGCCAUGUUCGUCCAGCGGAAAAAGGCCACAAAAACGGGGGGGCUAUAGCCUUGGAGGGUGGGGCUGGCCGACUUCGUCCGCCGGACCCGGAAUGGCGCGAGACUAUGCGAGGCACAUCCGUUUGCCAAAAAUAGGCCUUGGGCAAAGCCGCGCCCAAAAAUAACCGUCCGAAUGCCGGGGCGCCAAGUUCGUCCAGCGGAAAAAGGCCACAAAAACGGGUGGGCUAUAGCCUUGGGUGGUGGGGCUGGCCAACUUCGUCCGCCGGACUCGGAAUGCCGCGAGACUUUGCGAGGGGCCUUCGUGUGCCAAAAAUAGGCCGCGGGCAAUGCCGCGCCCAAAAAUAACCGCCCGAAGGCCGGGGCGCCAAGUUCGUCCAGCGGAAAAAGGCCACAAAAACGGGUUGGCUAUAGCCUUGGGGGGUGGGGCUGGCCAACUUCGUCCGCCGGAUUCGGAAUGCCACGACACUUUGUGAGGGGCCUCCGCGUGCCAAAAAUAGGCCUCGGGCACAGCUGCACCCAAAAAUAACUGCCCGAAGCAUGGGGCGCCAAGUUCGUCCAGCGGAAAAAGGCCACAAAAACGGGUGGGCUAUAGCCUUGGGGGGUGGGGCUGGCCGACUUCGUCCGCCGGAUUCGGAAUGCCGCGACACUUUGCGAGGGGCCUCCGCGUGCCAAAAAUAGGCCUCGGGCACAGCUGCACCCAAAAAUAACUGCCCGAAGCAUGGGGCGCCAAGUUC